CGGUAACAGGAAGCAGCUUGCUGCUUUGCUGACGAGUGGCGGACGGGUGAGUAAUGUCUGGGAAACUGCCUGAUGGAGGGGGAUAACUACUGGAAACGGUAGCUAAUACCGCAUAACGUCGCAAGACCAAAGAGGGGGACCUUCGGGCCUCUUGCCAUCGGAUGUGCCCAGAUGGGAUUAGCUAGUAGGUGGGGUAAAGGCUCACCUAGGCGACGAUCCCUAGCUGGUCUGAGAGGAUGACCAGCCACACUGGAACUGAGACACGGUCCAGACUCCUACGGGAGGCAGCAGUGGGGAAUAUUGCACAAUGGGCGCAAGCCUGAUGCAGCCAUGCCGCGUGUAUGAAGAAGGCCUUCGGGUUGUAAAGUACUUUCAGCGGGGAGGAAGGGAGUAAAGUUAAUACCUUUGCUCAUUGACGUUACCCGCAGAAGAAGCACCGGCUAACUCCGUGCCAGCAGCCGCGGUAAUACGGAGGGUGCAAGCGUUAA
rnacentral:rRNA from 1 species